GGACUCCGCUCCACCUUCAGAACGAAAAACUCUUUCGCCUUUUACUAAAGAGUUCCGUGGAGGUGGUGCACUCGAGGAGUCUCGACUCUUUUUUUGACGCGCCCAGCUCUCUCCGGAGCCGG